GCAAAGCGAACAGAAAAAAAAAAUGGAGAACAAUACAUACGCAAAAAUCGAUCAAACGCUGAGAAAUUUUUUUUUGUUGAAAUGCAAAACGAAAUUACAUGCAAAAUAACCAAUUUGGCGUUAAUGCAAAUGACUUGGUAAACAUUGCUGCUGCUCCAUCGCCAAAUUGCAUAUUUUUGUAAUGCAGGCGACGAGGAAAAAGUGCCAACUCGCGUUUAUGUAACCCCAAUAUAUGUGUGUGUGCCACAAGCGUGUGUAUGUGUGCGUGUGCUUCGACACAAAGCAGAAUGCGCAAAGAGAAGAAUGACGAGCAAAACGGAAUUAUCAAGAAGUGGAAGGGAGAUGGCAGGGGAACAACAAGACUAGCCGGCACUCGCAGCAACAAAACAACAACAACAUGGUUGACCGUGACGUAGUUUAGUUGUUGCGCCUGUCUGCGAAUAGUGGGUGGGGGUGAGAGUGGGUGGUGUUUUGUGGUCUGAUAAUCUACAAAUGAAUAAAUGUACACAACGUACGCCUUUUGGAGGCUGUGCAAGUUCACUUCAGAUUACCCAAUUAUCAAUAUGUCACGACGCCACAACAAAACCAACAACAAAGAAACAAAAUGGGUGCCUUCAGAGUCCGUCUGUCCGUCUCUGUCUAGCCGAGAAACAGUUAUGUGCUUACAGCGGACACUUUCUAACCUGAAUUAUGGUUCAAAUUUAUUUUAUUUCUAAGUGGCAAGAAUCUUGGUAUAUCCUAAAAGAAAAUUAACUGUAGCUCAACACAAUUUUUAAUAAUUAUCAACAAAAUUGAAUAUGAAAAUAUAAAAUUGUAAAUAAAAACUGACUG
ensembl:ncRNA lncRNA:CR44417 long non-coding RNA:CR44417